GCUGGAUGCAUAUCACAUACACACAUACUUUACAUGUAAUUCUCUCAGAUACCCAUGAGGAGGUGGGUGGGGCCAGAACAAGUGUAUCUGGAUUAAUGUGCUUAUUUUUAUUAAAUAAAGUAUUAAUACAGAGGGAACUUGAACAUAGCAUUUGCUUACUUAAUUAAUAACCGUAUCCAGGAAGUUCCUUUUAUCCAAUCAUGAUUGGAAAUCAUAAUUUCUGCAGCCCUAAUCUUUUACUAAUUGGUAUGGUUGGUAUCUAGGAUGCUAGCCAAUCAUUGUUCUUGAUUUAUUUAAAUUAUCCAAUCAGAUUGUUAAUUACAGUCUUUGUUUUAUCACAAGCGCUCUUGAUCACUUUUGAAUUUGCACAAAGCGUGUGCAGGCUGCUUUUCAUAUUCCAGUUACAAUUCUAUUUUAUUCCCACCCACCACAGCCCUCGCAAUACUUGUGUGUAUGUUGAUUUUGUUUUUUUUAUAUGACUAUAUGUUGUCAUUGUAUGUGUCACCUAUUUGUAGUUUUUGUUUAUUUGAUGAUAUUGUAUUUUAAUGUGUAUCAGUAGAUUAGUUUCCAUUUUCAUGAUAACCACAGUUGUUAUUAGGCUUUCAGCUUCUUGUAUGGAGUACCACAGACUUAUCAGUGAAUUGAUAUUUGCGAAACAAUUGACUUUUUAUGAUUCUUUCAUUGUUCAUUGUCAUGUUUAUUAUAUAAUGAAAGAAAUUAAUAAAACUGUGGUUAGUUUGCCCAA
rnacentral:lncRNA from 1 species